AUGACUUUUACAUUAUGUGCAAACAACUUAUACGUUUUGUGCAAACCUCGUUUACCUUAUGUGCAAACAUCGUUCACCCUAUGUGCAAACAUCGUUUACCUUAUGUGCAAACACCUAUUGCGUUAUGUGCAAAUACCUAUUAAGUUAUGUAUAAAAACUACAUCAUUAUGUGCAAACAAUAUUACGUUAUGUGCAAAUACCGC
rnacentral:lncRNA from 1 species